GUGCAGCAGUCGCGAAACCUCCGCAAUGCGGGAAACCGCGACGGGGGACCCCGAGUGCCGUGGCAACGCCACGGCUUUUCCGGAGUGUAAAAAGCUCCGGGAAUAAGGGCUGGGCAAGGCCGGUGGCAGCCGCCGCGGUAAUACCGGCGGCCCGAGUGGUGGCCGCUAUUAUUGGGCCUAAAGCGUCCGUAGCCGGGCCCGUAAGUCCCUGGCGAAAUCCCACGGCUCAACCGUGGGGCUUGCUGGGGAUACUGCGGGUCUUGGGACCGGGAGAGGCGGGGGGUACCCCUGGGGUAGGGGUGAAAUCCUAUAAUCCCAGGGGGACCGCCAGUGGCGAAGGCGCCCCGCUGGAACGGGUCCGACGGUGAGGGACGAAGG
rnacentral:rRNA from 1 species